CAUCUAAUCUCAUUGGUCAGUUCGAAGAUUCAAUCGUAAUGGCCGUCUCUGAGAAGAUCUGUUUGUAUUAAAUAACAGUCAAAUUUAAUCAUUAAGCUUAUUCGGAUAUAUGUGACAAGAUACACACAAUUAAUUAAAGUGUCUGGAAGCAUCCUGCUAACGUCCAUCUUGUUCCAAGAUAAACCUUAUAUGCGAAACAAUACAGUCUUGAUGAAAUGACCUUCGCAGCCCUGGCCUACCAGUUGUACAACGUGAUUCAAAGGAUUACGGGUUCCUGCUCCUUUCUACAUCUCACCACAGGCUUCCUUUUUAAAAGAUUUAUUUUUUCCGUUAUUUUUCUCAAGUAUCACGAAUGAAAAUUAUGAAGAUGUCAGUCACAGUUAUGACUUCCAAGAAUGAUAAAUCUUUCUGCCAUAGUUUUGUGAGAGUCACAUGAAACUAUAAACUGUGUGGUUUACUGGAAGUUACUUUAUUGAUGGAACUCACAUUACAAAGAUGACUGUUGAAGAAUACAUGCUCAACAAACAACCAAUUAGUUAAUUUAAAAAUACACUGUAAUAUAGGUCUAUGGUUUUAAAACAAAGUUUGUUAAGGUAAUGUUUCAAAUAUAUUUCGUUUGUUAUAUUGAGAACUUGUAGUCUUAUACUAAAUAAAGUGUGUCCAAAAUGAGAUUCAACACAUGAACAAACAA